CUCCUCUCAGGUUCGCACCUGGAGAGUUCCCAGUAUCCUACCAGUCUCAACUCCAGGCGGAAGAGUCAAGCAGAAGCAUAUCCAUUCCAUUCCUAGCUUGGGCAGUGGCUAGUGAGUGGAAGGCAAUCUGCUACAAGU